UACGUAGGUGGCAAGCGUUGUUCGGAAUUACUGGGCGUAAAGCGUGCGCAGGCGGUUAUUUAAGUCAGGUGUGAAAGCCCUGGGCUUAACCUAGGAAUUGCGCUUGAGACUGGAUAGCUUGGAGUGCGGCAGAGGGAGGUGGAAUUCCACGUGUAGCAGUGAAAUGCGUAGAGAUGUGGAGGAACACCGAUGGCGAAGGCAGCCUCCUGGGCCAGCACUGACGCUCAUGCACGAAAGCGUGGGGAGCAAACAGG
rnacentral:rRNA from 1 species